GCUGGGCGUGGUGGCGCGUGCGUGUAAUCCCAGCUACUCGGGAGGCUGAGGCAGGAGAAUUGCUUGAACCCAGGGGACGGAGGUUGCAGUGAGCCAAGAUCAUGCCACUGCACUCCAGCCUGGGUGACAGAGCAAGACUCUGUCUCAA
rnacentral:SRP_RNA from 1 species